CAAACGACUCUCGGCAACGGAUAUCUCGGCUCACGCAUCGAUGAAGAACGUAGCAAAAUGCGAUACUUGGUGUGAAUUGCAGAAUCCCGUGAACCAUCGAGUUUUUGAACGCAAGUUGCGCCCGAAGCCUUUUGGCCGAGGGCACGUCUGCCUGGGUGUCACAC
rnacentral:rRNA from 2 species